ensembl:lncRNA
GGGUCUGACCUAGAAGUUGAGCAGAAAUAGGCAGUCCAUCUCAUUGAUGUGCUCUCUGUGUUUUGUAAAUUUUAGCUUACAAAAAGAUUCAGUUGUUAUUGACCUAAUAUUUGAUGUUUACGCUCUGUGAAGGCAUUUUUCAGCCCACGUCCGCUUACUUUUUUUUUUUUUUUUAAUACUUUUCUUCAUGGUAGGAAUCAUUUAGCUUUACUCUCUGAGCGAAAGAUGUGAACUGUGAAAUUUUGAAUUUUGCUUUAUUAUUUCACAAUAAUGCCUCUGAAACCUCAACAGUCUUAUUGUCUGAGCGAGGCUUGUCUCAGGCUUCACCGUGACUUCAGAGGCUCAUGGGACCUUGUGUGCUGAAGUCCCCUUAAAUAGGCCACCACCCCAUUUGAGGGGUGGUGCCGUGGAAGAAGAAUUGCCACCUGCCCCUUAAUCAGCAAGUUGGGUUCUUUCUCCUCUGUGAGUUUCCACAUUUUUAUCUGUACAAUGGAAUCAAAAUUCUUACACUGAGGGGGCUUUAAGCAGACUGGCUUUAACUUGAGGUUUCGUAGCCAGAGGCUGCUGAAAUGCUGAGGGGGAAUCUUCUUAGUUCAAGUGUGGUUUGAAGGGGAAACAGUGGAAAAGUGAAGCUGAUCUUCCCUGUCUUAGUUUUCCUGCCCCCCUACUCCUUCCUCCUUUUACAUUGUCCCUGGAGAGGAAGGGAUAAACGAGCUGGCAGACUCAGGGAAGUUUGGUUGGGGGCAUCCGUGUCUCUCUGCUGCUGAGAAUAGGAGUCCUGGCCUCCGGGGUAAAGGAUGGAGUGGAAGGUAAGGACGGUGAGCUCUGGUGAUGCUGUAUUUCACACAGUGCCAUCUGCCUGCAGCCCUUGUUUUGAGGCUUUUGGUAGCUAGUAAAGAAGAGGGACCUAAGGAUAGAAACUAUUGCCAGUAAGAACACUUUUGCACAUAUACUACUCGCAUUUUUCUUAUUUUUUUUUCCCUCCAGGGUAAACAGUAGCAUGGAAAUGUCUGCAGGAGCAAAUAAAUGCAAGUAGGAGGUUUAAAACAAAACAAAACAAAACAGUGGCGUUAUCUCAGUAAUUCAGUUAAAUUAGAACAUUUUUCACUGUUGAAAAGGCAUUCCUUGCCCCUCAGGUGUCUCCUGUUUCCGGUGGAAGAACCUGGGUUGUUCUGAUUUGUGUUGCUGUUAUCUUUGCAGAAUCAUAGCAAGUGCUGUUGUCAGUGGCCUUCUAAUCCAGGACUGCCAUAUUGCAAGAACACAUGGGCCCCAAAGCAAAAUCUGAAUAGAUUCAGCCAGUGAAAAAGGUGAAAAUUGACUUUCAGGUGAUGAUAGAAUGUUAGAAGCUAGAGCUUUGGAAAUUUUCCCUUGUGGUGUUAUCCUGAUUCUUUAUCUCAGUAUAAAUUCAUGUGGCUGUAGAGUGGCAAAUUCUCCAAAGUUGAUUUUUUUUUUUUUUUUGCAAGCUUUUGUGCAAAUGUGUAACAUGAAUAUAUCACAUUGACAUUGAGGGAAUCACCCUGUAAUUUUGUGGAUAAAAAGUGCCAUAUCUAUGACAUUUGUAGUGUUGAAGAAAUCUUUGAAACAUGUACAGAAUCAUAAUUAUUUACAAAUUGAUAUUUAGUGUUUAGUAUACUACCAAAUGGUAGCAGAAUUUAUUUAUGUAUUUUUAAGUCUGUUCUGAUUUAACACCAAGAGUGUGGAGAGUCAAAUCACUUUUCAUGUGAUUCUAGAAUUUUCUUUGCCUUAGGUGAUUUUUGAAGAAUGAUCAAGAAUUCUUGCAAGACACUUAAGACUGUUUUACAGAGGAGUAUUGUAACCGAGAAUUUAUAAUUGAAAGGAAGAAGUCACACGUUAAAAUUGAUUAUGUAAUCAGUAUAUCACAGUAUUUCUUCCAAUAUGUUCAGUAGUUAUACUGUUAAUCGCUGAUGCUGAAUUGUGAUUCGUGCCGUAGACAAGGAGAAAAGAACUGUGUGGAGCUAGCCCCACUUUUAUUAUUUUCCCUCCAAGUAGGUACCAGGUACUUCUAAGUCAUCAUGGUCACACAGAUUUGCCCCCACCUGGUGCUUCUUUUGUAUCCCUGUCUCAGUGAGUGGUUACUUCCACUUGGAGCUGGAAAGCUGGGAGCCUGCCUUGACUCAUCCCUGUCCCUUAGUCCUUUCAGGCCCCACCAGUCCUCCAGGGUCUCCCUCUCAGUCUGUCCUUUUCUCCCCAUCCAUGCUUGCAAUUCCUUCUAUAAGCUCAGUGUGCUUUUUCUCAUCUUACAGCAGCUCUGGCAAAGCUAAGGAAAAAGAGAAGGCAUAAAUAAAUAGUACAGGCCAGAGUUCCAUAGUAAUCUGUGUCCUGGGCAGAAUCUGGUAUGCCUGUGUGCUAUGAAUGGUUAGUAACAUUUUCAAAGGGUUGUUUUAAAAAGAAAAAAGGAAUACACGUGACAGAGAGGGUUUGUUGCCUAUAAAACUGGUCCUUAACAGAAAAUGUUUGUUGACCCCCUGGCAUAGGCAUGGCAGUGAAAACUGGAAUACAGUUAUACAUGUGGUCAAUAGGAAACAGUCAUGUGGACAUCUUUUUUCAUUAGUUUGAAAUUUUAGAUGAAACGGAUAGCUCCCUUGAGAAAUAAAAACAGCUGAAAAUUGCAGCUGACUCAAGAGUAAGUAAAAAGCCCUAAGGCAAUUAGAUCAUUAGUUAAAACUCUUUGUGUCUGUCUUGCAUACAUACUCCAAAACUCUGGUUAAAGGAGGUAUUACCUUCCCCCAUACGUACAUAUGUAUACAUAUAUACACACAUAAUUGUCAUGUGAUUGAGGGAGACAAGCCUGAACUGUGUGGGUGGGGCAUUAGGAAGGGUGGCCUUUGGAACUCUUGAUCAUGAGCUGAGGCUGUGCUCUGCAGGCGGAAUUCUUCAGGAAAAUCUCAGCUAUACUCUGAAGGCUUUUCAACUGAUUGGAUCAGGCCCACCCAGAUUUUUCUUGGAUUAUCUCCUUUACUUAAAGUCAGCAGAUCACAGACUUGAAUCACAUCUGCUAAAUACCUCUGCAGCAACAGUUGGAUUAGCAUUUGAAUAACUGGGGACUAGCCAAAUUGACCUGUAAAGCUGACCUUCAUGGGUGGUUUCUGCCAAACUUUCAAAGAACUGGUAAUAAUCUUUAUACAAUGUUCCAGAGACUACAAAGAAAAGUCCUUAAUUUAUUGUCUAAAUAAUGUAACUUUGAUAACAAAACAAUGCAAAGCUAAGAGAGUAAAGUCAUAAGCAGAUCUCAAUGUGAAAACUGCAAAGAUGCUAAGCAAAAUUUGAGCACCCAAGUUGCUGCUAGUUGCUACCCACCCAUCUUUAAAGGACAUAGACAGUAAGAAUUAAAGAAGAAAGAUGCCCAGCUAUCCUUAUGAUUAUCUUCAUAGAAAUUGGAGGAGAAUUUCUGUGCGGAAAUUGAAAGAGAAUCUAUUGGCAGUGUAUUGGAAUUACUGAUUAGUAAAUUUGUAUUGGUUAUAAGGAUAUAAUAAAAAGUCAUUUGAACCUGAAUAAUUACGUUACCAAUGGAAAUAAAUCUAAUAAAAGAUGAACAGUGUCUUUAAGGAGAAAGUUAUAAAACUUUUUUAAAGUUUAAUUUCUGACAGUUAUGGGUUAUUUUUUUCUGAUAGUUAUGUGUUAAAAUCACCCAUUGUGAUUACAGAUUUAUAGCAUGUUAUAUUUAUAUCAGUUAACAUAUAAAUGGAAGUAAAAUAUACAUGUGAGAUUUACAGAUUGUGAGUUUUGAUAAGUGCAUGCACCCAAUCAAGUCUUCCCUUAGAGAGUAUCUGUCUCAACUCCCACGGAUAACUAGUGUUGUGAUUUUUGUCACUCUAGAUUAAUUUUGCAUGCACUUGAAUCAUGCAGUGUGUACUCUCGUGUCUGGCUUCUUUUUUCCAACAGAAUUUUUGAGAUUCACCCAAGUUGAAUGUGUCACUAGUUCAUUGUUUUGUAUUGCUAAGUAGUAUUCACUGGGCAAUUAGGUUGUUUCCAGUUUGAGGGUAUUAUGAAUAAUGCUUGUACAAGUUGUUUUUCCAGACAAAUACUUUCAUUCAUUUUGGGUAAAUGAAUACCUCUGAGUGGCACACAGGUUGGGUGUGCGUUUUAACUUUACAAUGUAACAAGCAGUUUUCCAAAGAAGUUCGUCAUUUCACACUUCUCACUAGCGUAUAUGAAAGUUCCAGUUGCUCCUCAUGCUCCCUAACAUUUGGUGUUGUCAGUGUUUUUAAUUUUAGUCAUUCUGGUGGGCGUGAAAUGAUAUAGGUUUCACUUGCUUUUCUUAAUGGCUUAUGAUUUUGAGCACCUUUUCAUGUGUGUGUUUACAAUUUGUAUAUCUUCUUUUUGAAGUGUCCAUUCUAGUCUUUGCCUCUUUUUUAUGGGGUGGUUUAUAUUUUUGUUAAUGAUAUGUAUUAGGACAUUUUAUAUAUUCUAGGUUGAAGUUCUCUGUCAGAUGCAUAUAUUGUGAACAUUUUCUCCUGGUCUGUGUUUUGUUUUUCAAUUUUUUUUACUGGUGUCUUUUUAUGAACAGCAGAUAUUAUGUUGGAUGAAAUCACAUUUACCAUAGUUUUCUUUUUUGUUUAGUGGCUUUGUUUCCUCUUGAAGAAAUCUUUGUCUACUCAGGAUAUUGUAGUGUGUAUGUUUGUGUUGGUUUAACAAUUUUCGUUUUUACAUUUAGGUUUAUAAGCUGUGGCAGAUUAACUGUUGGGAGUACUAUGAGGUAGAGGGUUGAAGGGUUCAAGCUGCUCACAAUUUCACCUCCCCAACCCAGGCCUACCACUGUUGAAAGUACUUUUAUUUCUUUAAUGAUUAGCUUUGUUGCAUUUAUCAAAAUAAAUUGGCUGUGUAUACCUUAAAUUGGUUCUGGACCCUGUUUUGUGACAUUAAUCUGUUUGUUUAUUCCAGUUAUGCCAGUACUAUACUACCUUGAUUGCUGUGGCUUUGUAGUGAGAUUUGAAAGCAGGUAGUGCAAGGCAUCCAAAUUCAUGCUACUAUUUUAAUGUUGUUUUAGCUUUUCUGAGUCCUUUGCUCUUCUUUAUACAUUUAAAAACUUUAUUUUGAAGUAGUUUAAUGCAUCAAGCUGCAAAACAGUAUAAUUUCUAAGUACCUUUCCCCCAGCUUUCCUUAAUGAUAUGAUCUUACGUAAGCAUAGUAUAUGUCUUCAGUGGCUGCAAUAUUGCCCUCAAAGUGGCAAAAAUUGGUAUUGGGGGAGAAAAUAAUCUUACCCUUUUAAUGUACAAAGCAUUGUAACACAUGUAGUACAUAAGCAGAUAGACAAUUUAUCUGUGAAAUGAACAUUUUAUGGGGGUUAUUAGGGGAAAAUGCAUAUAAAGCCUCUUUUAAG